rnacentral:misc_RNA from 1 species
GCAGGAACUUGCAGGAUUUUGAUAGGGCAGCGAUGUCUAGGUCACUGGAUGAGACUCAACAGAGCUGGCUGUUGGGUCCGACUGAGCAGAAGAAGAAGAAGUAUGUGGAUCUUGGUUGUAUUAUUGUGAGUAGGAAGAUUUUUAAGUGGACUGUGGGGUGUAUUAUUGCGGCUGCGCUUCUAGCUGGAUUCAUUACUAUGAUUGUUAAGCUUGUACCUAGACACAAACAUCACAAUCCUCCACCGGAUAAUUAUACUCUGGCUCUCCGUAAAGCUCUUAUGUUCUUCAAUGCCCAGAAAUCUGGAAAAUUGCCCAAGCAUAAUAACGUGUCAUGGAGGGGGAAUUCAUGUUUGCAAGAUGGCAAGUCAGAUGAUUCAACUAUGUUCAAAAAUUUGGUUGGGGGUUAUUAUGAU